UCCGUAGGCGGUGUGGCAAGUCGGAAGUGAAAUCUCUGGGCUUAACUCAGAGGCUGCUUCCGAAACUGCCGUGCUAGAGUGCGAGAGAGGCAAGUGGAAUUGCGGGUGUAGCGGUGAAAUGCGUAGAUAUCCGCAGGAACAUCCGAGGCGAAAGCGGCUUGCUGGAUCGCAACUGACGCUGAGGGACGAAAGCUAGGGGAGCAAACAGGAUUAGAUACCCUGGUAGUCCUAGCCCUAAACCAUCAGGACUUGGGUUUGCCCUGUACGGGGCAAGUCCCGUAGCUAACGCGUUAAGUCCUGCGCCUGGGGAGUACGGUCGCAAGGCUGAA
rnacentral:rRNA from 1 species